AGCAUGUUUCAUCGACAGUACUAUAUGCAAUGAUGUCAUAGUUCAUUGUUUCUGUAUGAUGCCUAAUCUUCCGUUCUAUUCAAAGGAAUCGAUAAUAUACUGUAAACGACUUACAAAUGGUAUGUCUACAAUAUGAGAUAUGGCCAUGAAAUAUUUAUGUAUCUUCUAAAUCUAGUUUAGUUUCCUCGCAGUGUGGAAUAGCAAUUAAGAAUUAUAUCUUCCAAUGAUAAAAACGCGAUAAAAGUAUUAGUUCUACCAUAAUGUUUAAUAGACCACAGAAUUAUUUUUCCGUGUGACUGUUGUUUAUUUUGUUGCAGAAAAAAUGGGUGGUUUGGUGGAACCAGAAUGUUCUGGUUCUGGUGUGUUUUCUUCAAGUUUAAUUUAUUUUUGUGCUGAAGAUCAUGGCUUUGGAGGCGGAAAAAGUCUCAGAAAAAGUGAGUGCAGAACACCAUUAGCUCAAACAUAAUUUAAUUUGAACGUGAUAUUGGUCAAUAUCGGAUUCUCCUAGAUGCGGACGAGGAUGCGGCUUCCUGGAUGCCCAAGGAAAAAGCAUAUGGACAUAAGCUGAUUCAACUUUCCAUUUCCCAUAUUUGUUUUAACGGAAAAACGAAAAAAAUAUUGUACAAAUAAAUCAAAAUGUAACAAA